rnacentral:rRNA from 1 species
AGAGUUUGAUCAUGGCUCAGAUUGAACGCUGGCGGCAGGCCUAACACAUGCAAGUCGAGCGGAUGAGAAGAGCUUGCUCUUCGAUUCAGCGGCGGACGGGUGAGUAAUGCCUAGGAAUCUGCCUGGUAGUGGGGGACAACGUUUCGAAAGGAACGCUAAUACCGCAUACGUCCUACGGGAGAAAGCAGGGGACCUUCGGGCCUUGCGCUAUCAGAUGAGCCUAGGUCGGAUUAGCUAGUUGGUGAGGUAAUGGCUCACCAAGGCGACGAUCCGUAACUGGUCUGAGAGGAUGAUCAGUCACACUGGAACUGAGACACGGUCCAGACUCCUACGGGAGGCAGCAGUGGGGAAUAUUGGACAAUGGGCGAAAGCCUGAUCCAGCCAUGCCGCGUGUGUGAAGAAGGUCUUCGGAUUGUAAAGCACUUUAAGUUGGGAGGAAGGGCAUUAACCUAAUACGUUAGUGUUUUGACGUUACCGACAGAAUAAGCACCGGCUAACUCUGUGCCAGCCGCCGCGGUAAUAC